GAUGAAGAACGCAGCGAAAUGCGAUACGUAAUGUGAAUUGCAGAAUUCAGUGAAUCAUCGAAUCUUUGAACGCAUAUUGCGCUCUCUGGUAUUCCGGAGAGCAUGCUUGUUUGAGUAUCAGUAAACACCUCAACUUCCAUAUCUUUUUUUGAAAUGGGAGUUGGACUUGAGUGAUCCCAACGCUUUUCCUCACCGAAAUGUGGCGGGUUACUUGAAAUGCAGGUGCAGCUGGACUUUUCUCUGAGCUAUAAGCAUAUCUAUUUAGUCUGCCUAAAAAACAGAUUAUUACCUUUGCUGCAGCUAACAUAAAGGAGAUUAGUUCUUGUGCUGACUGAUGCAGGAUUCACAAAGACAGCUUCGGCCGACUUUGUAAACUCGAUCUCAAAUCAAGUAAGACUACCCGCUGAACUUAAGCAUAUCAAUAAGCGGAGGA
rnacentral:misc_RNA from 1 species